GGGGGGGGGGUUUUCCCGCCUCUGGUCUUCCCUGCGCGAGCCCCUCUGAGGGGAAGAGCGGGCCGCCCCGCAGCCAUGCCCGCCGGCGUGCCUUGGCCCACCUACCUGAAGACGCUGGCGGCCAGCCUGCUGGCCAUGUUCGCGGGCGCCGAGGUCGUGCACAGGUACUACAGGCCUGACCUUAGUAUACCUGAAAUACCUCCUAAGCCUGGAGAACUGAAAACAGAACUGUUGGGUCUAAAAGCAAGAUCAAGCAAAGUUCAGACUUCACAACAGUGACCAGAAUUUACUUACAGUAUGAAAACCAGAACUGAUAAAAUAUUUGUUCAACUGUCCCAACUGCAGAAAUCCGACAGUAGGUGAGUGCAGCUUACAGUUCAUCUUUCACAUCUGUGGAUUCCUGUGGAGACAUCAAAGAGAAAAUCAGAAUCUUGCUUUUUGAAAGUGGAAAAGGUUACAAGAGCUGUCCCAGAAGAACUGAACCUAAGUACUGCUGAUGCUUUCCAAAGCACUAAGUGAUACAACUUUCUAAAGAGGUAUUAAACUCAAACUUCUGUUCAAAUGAUGCCAUGUUAAGCAUUUGCUAUUAAGAGUAAAAAAAAAUAAAUUUCAAUCUGCUCAAACAUUAGCAGUAGAUCUAGUGUACCAUUUCAUCUUUAAUACUUUCUAAGCUAUCUUUCAGGCACAGUAUUAGUGCUGUUAAUAGCCCUAUUCUACUUGAUUGCAGAGCUAGGAAGCACAUCUGCUUUCCAGUCAGUAGUCAGAAACCUUAAUCUGCAACUGUACUAAUCCAACAAAUAGAGCAUGACUUUGCUCCUUUAUAAUUUAUUACUGUCACUGCAGGUUAUACUGCUGUGUAAAUGCAAUAGUAAGAGCAUCAAAAUUAAGUAACUAUAGUACAAUAAGCAUUGUUCCUCAAAUUUAUUCUUAGGUAAUCUGACAUUAAACAGUAGGCAAGAACAUCUCUAUAAGCUAUGUAUUUGCACUAGUGACAAGGUAUCUUGCAAAAGCAACCUGAGAAAGCAGGUCCAUUUGGGACCUCAUAGUAACUUUGUAAGUUAUUAUCAAGAAACUGUAGUAUUGCAAGAGUUCAGCAUAUCCACCAAGACGUCAUUAAAACAGAAGACGUUUGCCAAGUGAAGGCUGACUGCACACAACAGCUGAACUGUUUUAGAGGUAGUAUUGUUGUCUAUAGUGUUGUUUCAAGUCUGUAUUGUUGUAAGCAUUUAGAACUAUACUCUUGCCAAUUCAUUGAUGUUAUUGCCCACAAACUGUGGAAAUCCAACCAGUAACAUUAAGUUCACUGUAGAGGAUUUGCUGCUGUUUUCUUGCCAUAGGGCACUCUCUUACAAUCUCUUAAGCUUAAUUUAGCUCCAACUUUGAACAUAUCUAAGUGUUUUCUUCUUACAGUAUAGUUUGAUAAGGAAUGAAAGGUAAUUUGUGCUGUAGUUUUCUUCCCUCCAAAAAAAUCUUGGAAAACCUCACACUGAGAACUAGUGUCACGAAAGGCAAAGUGAACAAGUUUGUUGCCAGGAAGCACCACAGACAAAACUGCAUAUAAAUAUUGGUAAGA